CGUGAAUCAUCGAAUCUUUGAACGCACCUUGCGCUCCUUGGUAUUCCGAGGAGCAUGCCUGUUUGAGUGUCAUUGAAAAUCUCAAGCCGAGCUGUUUUGACUUUGGUUGAAAAAGCCCGGAUUUUGGAGUGUUGGGAGGUCUGCAGGCAGUCCUGAUCUUUUGGG
rnacentral:rRNA from 1 species